UACGUAGGGGGCAAGCGUUGUCCGGAAUCAUUGGGCGUAAAGAGCGUGUAGGCGGCCAGAAAAGUCCGCUGUGAAAACUCGAGGCUCAACUUCGAGCUGUCGGUGGAAACUUUCUGGCUAGAGUCCGGAAGAGGAGAAUGGAAUUCCUGGUGUAGCGGUGAAAUGCGUAGAUAUCGGAAGGAACACCAGUGGCGAAAGCGGCUCCCUGGUCCAGCACCGACGUUCAGGCACGAAAGCGUGGGGAGCAAACAGG
rnacentral:rRNA from 1 species